rnacentral:lncRNA from 1 species
AUACCUUGUGCUAUAAUGAAGGCUAAGAUAGAACACCUAGCUAUGACUUAGAAUAGCUUAGCCCCUGCAUUUAGUCAACACACAAUAUGAAUACAGAGUCACCUCUAUUAACUUGGCUACAUAAAACUCAUUGUCAUCCUUACCUGACACCAUACUACUUAAUCCCUUCGAUGCGGCUGUACACCAUGUAUGAGACUAUUAACUUAUAUUUAUAAGUAUAUACCGAUAGACAUUACCUUAAUAUUGAGAUCACGCAACUAACUAAGCCUUAUCACUAUAAUUUCGGUAUUUGAUUACGGCUCCAAAAGUAGUUUCUAGAAUAUUCUAGAAUUAUAAAUAUAAACAAAUAUAUUUUAAUACAUAAUUACAAUUAAUAUAGAUUUGAUGAUAAAAUACUU